rnacentral:rRNA from 1 species
AGUGAACGCUGGCGGUAGGCCUAACACAUGCAAGUCGAACGGCAGCACAGUAAGAGCUUGCUCUUACGGGUGGCGAGUGGCGGACGGGUGAGGAAUACAUCGGAAUCUACUUUUUCGUGGGGGAUAACGUAGGGAAACUUACGCUAAUACCGCAUACGACCUACGGGUGAAAGCAGGGGAUCUUCGGACCUUGCGCGAUUGAAUGAGCCGAUGUCGGAUUAGCCAGUUGGCGGGGUAAAGGCCCACCAAGGCGACGAUCCGUAGCUGGUCUGAGAGGAUGGUCGGCGGCAUGAGAACUGAGACACGGACCAGAGGCCUACGAGACGGAGCAGAGGGGAAUAUGAGGCAGUAGUGGCGAACCUGGCACAGCGGGACCGAGUCGGUGACGGAAACGUUCGGGUCGUGAAGACGUUUUGUGGGGAGAGAAAAGCUGCAGCUUGUUACGACGCGGGACUGACGGUACUCAAAAAAUAAGCACCGGCUAACUACGUG